rnacentral:rRNA from 1 species
UACGAACUGUGCAAACGUUAUUCGGAAUCACUGGGCUUAAAGGGUGCGUAGGCGGCUUGUCAAGUAGGGUGUGAAAGCCCCCGGCUUAACCGGGGAAUUGCGCCCUAAACUGACGAGCUGGAGUGGGACAGGGGUGUGUGGAACUUCCGGUGGAGCGGUGAAAUGUGUUGAUAUCCUAAGGAACACCGGUGGCGAAAGCGGCUCACUGGAUCUCUUCUGACGCUGAGGCACGAAAGCUAGGGUAGCGAACGGG